rnacentral:lncRNA from 1 species
AUAAAUACACCUGCAGUCCACAACAUAUUUUAUCUAACAUUGUUGAGAUUUGGAUUUGGGUCACAUAAAUGUGCACCCGAGUUUAGAAAAGUAACUUUUUAAUAGCGCGCCUAAAGCAGCUAUGCACUUUCAACUUUGCGAGGGCCAUGGAAAAUUCAACUAAAUGGCUCGCCUCGAUUCCUAAAGGAUUAAAAUUAUUUAAGCGAGGGCCAUGAAUUUUGGAAUUUUAUUCGACAUGGCGCGCCUCGAAUCUCUUUCUUCAAGAUUUUCCCUCUCCAUCUUUAACAUGGCUUCUUGCUGAGCAAUUUCUCACGACGAGAGAGCUCAGCUUUUCAAGCGGCUUCACGCUCAGCAACUUCCCAUUCACGCUCCUCAAUGUAAGUCUGCAUCUCCCUCUCUUUCAAUUCUUGUACGAAUUUAUCAAUCACUGCUUUAAUCAAACUAACAGAGAGUCUAGUCAAUUAGGUGUUGAAGAAACUAUCUUGAUUUCUGAUUAUUAGCUAAAUGGCUUGUAAGAAAGCAUCUGAACAAUUAAAACUUCAUGACCACGUCGUUCAUGGCUAAAAUCAUGGGCUAGGCUUAAAUUAACAAAUAACUUUAGCCUUAAUAUAAUAGAAUUCACAUAAUUACUUACCAAAAUUGAUUAAGCAAUAAAUCAACAGAUAUAACUCUCCAAGUAAUCAAUAAUUUCAGAGUUAGUCUUUAGCUUGAACAAAUAAUUUUAGCAGGAGAGAAGUGUGAAUGGAUCUAACAAUCAAACACGAUGAACACACAAAAUCAUAGAGAGACUCAACAAGUAAUUUAGGCCUUCAUUCAUACAUAGUUGAGAAUUACAAAAGAAAUAAUUGACAUACCUAACAGCAAAAGCAAAAGGCAGCAGAAUAAGACCAAAUAAAGUCCAGACAAAAGGAUGAGAAAGGUUAAGCUAUGCAGGCAGCAGCGGAACACAGUCCUUUACCAAAUAUGCAACAACUCUGAUCCAAUGUAAUCAAUGAAGAAUGAGUGCAAACAAAUAGAGGCAAAUUAUAAGUGAGAUCUUAAUCAAACUACCACAAUACAACGUCUUUCGUUUCCUUUCUACAGUUAAACUAAUGGAUCGACUGAUUCUCCACUCCAAAGUUCAAUUCAGAGGUGUAAUCUAAAUGGAGAUGGAUUUUUUUUAUCAUGGGACAAAUGGAAUCCAUCGAAACAUGGUCCACAAAAGAUAUAAAGUUUCAGCUUCUUCAAAUUGCUACCAACGAAAAGGAACUUUCAAUUGAAUUCCACUGUGUGCCGUUUUUUAUUUCUUGUGAAGAAGGGAAGGGGCCUCAAGUGUAU